rnacentral:rRNA from 1 species
AAGCCAGACUCCUACGGGAGGCAGCAGUGGGGGAUAUUGCACAAUGGGGGGAACCCUGAUGCAGCGACGCCGCGUGGGUGAAGAAGCGCCUCGGCGCGUAAAGCCCUGUCAGCAGGGAAGAAAAUGACGGUACCUGAAGAAGAAGCCCCGGCUAACUACGUGCCAGCAGCCGCGGUAAUACGUAGGGGGCAAGCGUUAUCCGGAUUUACUGGGUGUAAAGGGGGCGCAGACGGCAGCGCAAGCCAGGAGUGAAAGCCCGGGGCCCAACCCCGGGACUGCUCUUGGAACUGCGCGGCUGGAGUGCAGGAGGGGCAGGCGGAAUUCCUGGUGUAGCGGUGAAAUGCGUAGAUAUCAGGAGGAACACCGGUGGCGAAGGCGGCCUGCUGGACUGCGACUGACGUUGAGGCCCGAAAGCGUGGGGAGCAAACAGGAUUAGAUACCCUUGUA